GGGUUGUGAGGUUAAGCGACUAAGCGUACACGGUGGAUGCCCUGGCAGUCAGAGGCGAUGAAGGACGUGCUAAUCUGCGAAAAGCGUCGGUAAGGUGAUAUGAACCGUUAUAACCGGCGAUGUCCGAAUGGGGAAACCCAGUGCAAUUCGUUGCACUAUCGUUAACUGAAUACAUAGGUUAACGAGGCGAACCGGGGGAACUGAAACAUCUAAGUACCCCGAGGAAAAGAAAUCAACCGAGAUUCCCCCAGUAGCGGCGAGCGAACGGGGAGCAGCCCAGAGUCUGAAUCAGCUUGUGUGUUAGUGGAACGGUCUGGAAAGUCCGACGGUACAGGGUGAUAGUCCCGUACACCAAAAUGCACAGGCUGUGAACUCGAAGAGUAGGGCGGGACACGUGGUAUCCUGUCUGAAUAUGGGGGGACCAUCCUCCAAGGCUAAAUACUCCUGACUGACCGAUAGUGAACCAGUACCGUGAGGGAAAGGCGAAAAGAACCCCGGCGAGGGGAGUGAAAAAGAACCUGAAACCGUGUACGUACAAGCAGUGGGAGCACCUUCGGGUGUGACUGCGUACCUUUUGUAUAAUGGGUCAGCGACUUAUAUUCUGUAGCAAGGUUAACCGUAUAGGGGAGCCGCAGGGAAACCGAGUCUUAACUGGGCGUUAAGUUGCAGGGUAUAGACCCGAAACCCGGUGAUCUAGCCAUGGGCAGGUUGAAGGUUGGGUAACACUAACUGGAGGACCGAACCGACUAAUGUUGAAAAAUUAGCGGAUGACUUGUGGCUGGGGGUGAAAGGCCAAUCAAACCGGGAGAUAGCUGGUUCUCCCCGAAAGCUAUUUAGGUAGCGCCUCGUGAACUCAUCUUCGGGGGUAGAGCACUGUUUCGGCUAGGGGGUCAUCCCGACUUACCAACCCGAUGCAAACUACGAAUACCGAAGAAUGUUAUCACGGGAGACACACGGCGGGUGCUAACGUCCGUCGUGAAGAGGGAAACAACCCAGACCGCCAGCUAAGGUCCCAAAGUCAUGGUUAAGUGGGAAACGAUGUGGGAAGGCACAGACAGCCAGGAUGUUGGCUUAGAAGCAGCCAUCAUUUAAAGAAAGCGUAAUAGCUCACUGGUCGAGUCGGCCUGCGCGGAAGAUGUAACGGGGCUAAACCAUGCACCGAAGCUGCGGCAGCGACACUAUGUGUUGUUGGGUAGGGGAGCGUUCUGUAAGCCUGCGAAGGUGUGCUGUGAGGCAUGCUGGAGGUAUCAGAAGUGCGAAUGCUGACAUAAGUAACGAUAAAGCGGGUGAAAAGCCCGCUCGCCGGAAGACCAAGGGUUCCUGUCCAACGUUAAUCGGGGCAGGGUGAGUCGACCCCUAAGGCGAGGCCGAAAGGCGUAGUCGAUGGGAAACAGGUUAAUAUUCCUGUACUUGGUGUUACUGCGAAGGGGGGACGGAGAAGGCUAUGUUAGCCGGGCGACGGUUGUCCCGGUUUAAGCAUGUAGGCUGAUUGUCCAGGCAAAUCCGGAUAAUCAAGGCUGAGGUGUGAUGACGAGGCACUACGGUGCUGAAGUAACAAAUGCCCUGCUUCCAGGAAAAGCCUCUAAGCAUCAGGUAACAUCAAAUCGUACCCCAAACCGACACAGGUGGUCAGGUAGAGAAUACCAAGGCGCUUGAGAGAACUCGGGUGAAGGAACUAGGCAAAAUGGUGCCGUAACUUCGGGAGAAGGCACGCUGGUGUGUAGGUGAAGUCCCUGCGGAUGGAGCUGAGACCAGUCGAAGAUACCAGCUGGCUGCAACUGUUUAUUAAAAACACAGCACUGUGCAAACACGAAAGUGGACGUAUACGGUGUGACGCCUGCCCGGUGCCGGAAGGUUAAUUGAUGGGGUUAUCCGUAAGGAGAAGCUCUUGAUCGAAGCCCCGGUAAACGGCGGCCGUAACUAUAACGGUCCUAAGGUAGCGAAAUUCCUUGUCGGGUAAGUUCCGACCUGCACGAAUGGCGUAAUGAUGGCCAGGCUGUCUCCACCCGAGACUCAGUGAAAUUGAACUCGCUGUGAAGAUGCAGUGUACCCGCGGCAAGACGGAAAGACCCCGUGAACCUUUACUAUAGCUUGACACUGAACAUUGAGCCUUGAUGUGUAGGAUAGGUGGGAGGCUUUGAAGCGUGGACGCCAGUCUGCGUGGAGCCAACCUUGAAAUACCACCCUUUAAUGUUUGAUGUUCUAACGUUGGCCCCUUACCGGGGUUGCGGACAGUGUCUGGUGGGUAGUUUGACUGGGGCGGUCUCCUCCCAAAGCGUAACGGAGGAGCACGAAGGUUAGCUAAUCCUGGUCGGACAUCAGGAGGUUAGUGCAAUGGCAUAAGCUAGCUUGACUGCGAGCGUGACGGCGCGAGCAGGUGCGAAAGCAGGUCAUAGUGAUCCGGUGGUUCUGAAUGGAAGGGCCAUCGCUCAACGGAUAAAAGGUACUCCGGGGAUAACAGGCUGAUACCGCCCAAGAGUUCAUAUCGACGGCGGUGUUUGGCACCUCGAUGUCGGCUCAUCACAUCCUGGGGCUGAAGUAGGUCCCAAGGGUAUGGCUGUUCGCCAUUUAAAGUGGUACGCGAGCUGGGUUUAGAACGUCGUGAGACAGUUCGGUCCCUAUCUGCCGUGGGCGCUGGAGAAUUGAGGGGGGCUGCUCCUAGUACGAGAGGACCGGAGUGGACGCAUCACUGGUGUUCGGGUUGUCAUGCCAAUGGCACUGCCCGGUAGCUAAAUGCGGAAGAGAUAAGUGCUGAAAGCAUCUAAGCACGAAACUUGCCCCGAGAUGAGUUCUCCCUGAGACUUUAAGUCUCCUGAAGGAACGUUGAAGACGACGACGUUGAUAGGCCGGGUGUGUAAGCGCAGCGAUGCGUUGAGCUAACCGGUACUAAUGAACCGUGAGGCUUAACCUUACAACGCCGAAG
rnacentral:rRNA from 1 species